rnacentral:rRNA from 1 species
CCUGAUCCAGCGAUGCCGCGUGUGUGAAGAAGGCCUUCGGGUUGUAAAGCACUUUUAUCAGGAGCGAAAUACUACCGCCCAAUACCCGAUGGGGCUGACGGUACCUGAGGAAUAAGCACCGGCUAACUUCGUGCCAGCACCCGCGGUAAUACGAAGGGUGCGAGCGUUAAUCGGAAUUACUGGGCGUAAAGGGUGCGUAGGCGGUUCGUUAAGUCUGUUGUGAAAUCCCCGGGCUCAACCUGGGAAUGGCAAUGGAUACUGGCGGGCUAGAGUGUGUCAGAGGAUGGUGGAAUUCCCGGUGUAGCGGUGAGAUGCGUAGAGAUCGGGAGGACAUCAGUGGCGAAGGCGGCCAUCUGGGACAACACUGACGCUGAAGCACGAAAGCGUGGGGAGCAAACAGGAUUAGAUACCCUGGUAGUCCACGCCCUAAACGAUGCGUACUGGAUGUUGGUCUCAACUCGGAGAUCAGUGUCGAAGCUAACGCGUUAAGUUCACCGCCUGGGGAGUACGAUCGCAAG